CGGUGGCCGUUGGGGCAGCGGGCGGGGGUGGCAGCUCGUGUGCGUCCCUCCGCCGUCAGCGCCGGCAGCGAGUGAGCCCCGCGCUCGUGCCCGGCCGCCGUUUUUAUACGGCGUCUCGGCACGCGGGCCCGCUCGCGCCUCACGCUUCACGCCCGCUUGCCUGUGAUUGGCUGCAGCCGGCUCUCGGCCCCGCCCUUGGAGCGGGGGUGGGUAGGGGAAGGGGGGAGAGCGCGUGCACCCGGCUCGCGGCGCCUCCAGCGUCUGUGAUUGGUGCGCGCGCGCGAGGGGAGCACGAGGCGCUCGCCCCCGGGGCGGGGGCUGAGCCUGAGGGGAGCGCUGAGGGAAGCCUUGAAACUCCUGGUUGUGAUAUCUACUGUGGUACAACACCAGCUUCAGAUGUAGCUGCAACCCACAGAACAAUACAUCAUGACGUGAGUAUCACUUUUAAAUACAGGCCCUUCAACAUCUGCUUUACUUUUGGACGAGAGUCAAACUCUUCCGCAACCCUAUCCCAGCUCCCCUCACUGCCUCCCCUCCCCGAUCCCAACAGAGUUCAAGAGUGCAGCCACAAAACCUUUGUCAAACGAGAUUCUUGCAGCAACCUCCCUCCCCAGCCUGGGGACUGCGCAGAAAUCCCCUUGCGAGGGAGUCCCUCCCAACCUAUGCUCAAAGUAGAAAACAGUUGCUAUAGUAACCAGUUCUCUACCUGCACGGAAUUGGCUCGCUCUUCCCUCUUAAUCUUCUCCGGUUUUAUUAGUUCUGGGCGAGAAGCAGCUCGUCAGGUCAGGGCUGUGCUUGGUUCUGCAGGCUGGAGGAAUGCGAGGAAGGCACUGAGGGGGCGGGGGUCGUCACCCGUCAGGUGGCUGUUGCUUGUUAACUUUGCCUGAACGUCCCGCGUGAGGGCUGCCAGCACUGUCCUUUUGUGACAGAGCCACCCGAGCUGCAGAGGGAGAGGCACUUUGCUUCCCCUUCCUGCUCCAGUUUGUGGUGGAACCUUACUACUAUCUUGUCCAAGAGCAGACCCAUCACUUUCCGUCUGUAGCCUUCCUUGCACAUCCUUUGCAGCCUCACUGGGAUAGAUUUCAGUGGAAAAAGAGACUGAAUAGAGUUUAUUUUCUUUGACAGCACAUUUUUGCAACUCUUCCUAGGGUUAAGAAUUACCACAAAACACUGAAAACACUGAUAAAAUUCUAAACUAUGAUAAAUAGUAUAUUUUCCAAUAUGUCUGCUGUGGCCAGGCAUUAAACUAAUAGUUUCCUGCAAUAUGAAUUCCAUUGUGGAAGUGUAUAGCUAGGAGCCAAACAAACCUGCUGUAAGGAAUAACACUCCAGACCCACCUCUAGUUUUGCCUGUGCGACACAGAGAAGUUGCCUGUGCAAGGUGGGGCGUGUUCCCUUGACAGCAAGUGGACUGAGGAGGGUAUGAUGGUGACUAGGAAGGGGGAAAAACCCAUGGAAUUAACUACUGUAGAUGUAGUUAUGGCCACUAAUAAGAGGCUGCAGAGGAUAGUGUAGGACAGAGCAGGUACUGCACUAUAACAAGGCACCAGGCACUGUCACUGCUUGUAUUAAAUGCUCGGAGCCCAUGUGCUGUGAAGGACCAAAAGCAUUGACUGGACAUUGGGACAGACUAGGCAGGAGCAAGCCAACUAGAAGACUUUCUUCUUAUGCUCAUGUAGCUGCCAUUACCAUGAUAGUAAAUGCUUUAUAUUUAAGUACAACACAAUAAAAAGAUUCCAGAACAAGCCCACAUCGCUAUGUUGCUUGAACAACAGCCAGUAGUAAAAUAGAAAUGUGCAUGCAUUUCUAAAACAUUUCAAAGUCCAUUAUUGAUCCGAAUAAUGAGGUAGGUCACAGACUAAUCUUAAAAUGAUUUUGUCUUCUAAAAUAUCUUUUUUUUUCCCACUCUGUUUUUCCUUGUUAUGCAACAAUUUGCUAUGCUAAGCAUGCACAGCAACAGACUAAUAGCAAGGUGAAAUAACUGAUUUGUGAUGGAACUUGCAACUCCAGUAUUGCUGGUUAUUCAAGCAUGGUGCAGUUUCCCCCUAUGUUAGGAUGUAAAAAGGUGGAUUCCAGAUAUAGAUUCCAGACACCAUAGUUUUGACUCAGGUGCUGAUUAUGCUUAAGCAAUUGGCAUAGCUUUUAUGGCACCUUGGCAGUUUCCCAUUUAAGCCACAGAAUGGUUUCUAGCUGGUUAUUUCCUCAUGGGCCAUUAAACCUCUAACAGUCAGCAUAAGGAAGGGGCAGAGGGAAGUUUUGGAAUCUUCGGGGAGCCAAGCCUGCAGCAAUGGCAGCAGUGGAACUCUGCCUGGGGCAAGACACAUGUUCUAGGCAAGAGUUUCACCUCUUCACCUCACUCAGUCCUAUUUGUUCCUUGCCAGUGAUAACAAUUAGUAGUCUGAGGUUAAAGAAAGGUCACUGAGUGAGAAAAUGAUUCCAAAUAGACACAGUAUGAUUAUUCAUGGUGAGCUGACUGCCAAAGAAGUGGUCACUGGACUUGGAGCGCACACGUGGAGGACAAACAGGGUAAACACAGGAGGGUCACCAGAAUAGAGGUUUGAUCCUUUCAGGGGCUGGCCGUGUUCCUCCUCACACACAUGUACACACAUUGAUUUUCAAGUGCUCUAGCCUGAAACCUAGAAAACUACAGGUCAUGUCUGUUUUACACAUACACUGACAAUUUCUUAGCCUAACUGGUGAGAUUUAAGUCACAUUGCUAUUUAUAGGAGGAAACCCAUCACUUUAAAUUUUCUGUGCUCAUUUAUUUUAUAUGUAUAUAUGUAUAAAUUCUCCCAAAAGAUCAAAUAAAAUUUUUAAGUCAGUCCUCUGACCUAGUAUCUUUGACUAACAAUAUCUUGUUAUUGUACAGAUCUUUAGAUUUUCAAUAAUCUUUUAAUUGUCAUACUGGCAUAAAAUGAGAGGAGUGGAUUUUUGUGUGAAACACUCAAAAUCAUCCAGAUAAAUGCCUUCCUUCAGAAACAGUCACUGAUUAUGCCUGGAAGAUGAGGGUAACUUUAUAGACAGCCAGAGUGGUUCUGUGAUAUGCCUAAACUACCUUAAUGUAACAGCUGUAGACUGGCUUUUGACCUCAGAAGUGAGAUCACUGUUAAUUGUUACCAGAAUAGUGCUGUACACUACAGAGCAUUUUAAUUGUACAUUACAGAGGAUUUUGAAACACUCAUGAUAACAAUUACUCAUGAUAACUAGAAAAUACUGGUCACCAAGAAAUUAACCCAGAUUAGAAACCUUCUGAAAGCAGAAUGAAACCCAUUGCCUCUUUAAGCAGAGCACGUAGUACUCAGUUACAGGUAUUUAACAGAUGUAUGAAUUAAAUGCAACAUGAUAGAACUAAUUUUCCCUUUCCAUUCUGUGGAUAACACGUGCUGACUGAAUUUACAAAUCUGGUUUGUUAUGUAUUAAUCAGUCAUCUGUGAAUCUGAUUGAGUAACACAGUAGUUGUGCAAUACCAAGACUCCCAUAUAAAUCAUGCCUGAGUCCUAAGUCAAUAUUGGUUCAAAUACUGAUUCCCAUGAGAGAUAGGGCUGCAGCUGAAGAGGUUACAGGUGCCAACUGAACCACUUCAGAGAGGACUGCUCCGUCCAUGUUCAUUUGAGAUCGACAUCAAAGUGCUCACUUCAGUUUGGAUUCAUGAGAACGGAGCAUUUGCCUUCACUUUUG
rnacentral:lncRNA from 1 species